AGUUGUGGCCGCGACUGCCCGGGAGUGGCGCUUGCCGCGGUCCGGGCUUGCACCCCGCUGGGCAAAGUACCCGGGGCUGUCACACGGCGAGCUGAGCCCUGGGCCGGCGGGUGAGGUUCCCCAAGCGGCGAUGCCCCUGGCUCCCUGUUCCGCCAUUGCGAGCCGUUAGGGCCAAGCUGGAGGGAGGGCGGCGAGGCGCGGCUGCCGGUAGGGCGGGGCCCUGGGCUGCUGGCGGGGCGGAGGCCGGAGGCGGCCUUGGGCGGGUGGCUUCUCUGGGUCCCACGGUUCCUGCCCAGGCUCUUCGAACCAGGACCAGUGCGGGUAAUGUGAAUUGACACUUGUUCCGGUUCAGGGCUGCCCCACCCCUGGUUGCCCCAAACCCUGCGGCCUGGUGGGCUUGGGCAAGUGGGCUGGAGUAGCGCUCUGUUAGGAAACGAGUAUGCGAGGGAGGGAGGGUGGGUGUGGUCGAAAUGCCCAAGCCUCGUUUCAAAAAUGAAGACGCAUGACCUUAAAAUUAUUUCUGGAGAAGAAUGCUUGCGCGAGAGGUGUGGGGGGGGGGGCGGGGAGCGGGAUGGAGGGAGGAGUAUAGAGUCUGUUAAAAAUCUGAUAGACACGGACUUGUUAUUUAUUCCGGAAAUAUCUAACGAGGCCCACCAGGUUCAAGGCACUGGGGAAGGACCAGGGUCGUGCAUUUGAAAAGCUUACCUUAGUGGAAUAGACUGGCUGAAGCAAACAAACAAGGUAAUGACAGGUGUAGUAUGGCUUUGCAGGAAACACACAGAGUGAUGAAAAAGAUUUUGUAGACGAAGCCUCUGGCUGGAUAGGAUGGCUAAAAAAGACCUCUAGGAGGAAGUGAUAGUUGAGGAGCCUCCUGACAAAAAAGGCACGAAAUACACCUAACCACGACUUUACAUACAGGGACUGCAGAUUCCAGAACCCCCUGAAUAAGCCCACUAAUUCCAUGUUGAGCACCUGUCUCUAAAGCCUUCUAAGGGCUGUUUCUGUGCUGCCCACUUCCCCUGCAAUUUCAGAAGGCUUGAUCACCCUUACAGUUUAUGGGGGCUGGCACUGUGGCACUAAUGGGGGAGGUUCGAGAGACAGGGAGAAUUAUACCCAUCAGCUUUGAGAGACAAAUUCUUUACCUUUUCACUGUUUCUAUGUCACUAUAUUUCUCAGAGUCAUGAGUAAACAUUAAAACUAUGAUUUUUACGUUGGCAUGUUGUGAUCUGAAUAAAAUGAUUAAUGACAUCUUUUGCCAAAUUUGUUGAAGACAAAGUGAGAGGAUCUAUUCAGAUGCAGUACCUGAAUAAUACCAAAAACCCAACACGUAUUAAAUAUUAACGACAUAAUUAAUAGAUUGUCUGGAUAAUACAUUAGAUUCUCUUGCCCUUUUAAUUUUUCUCCUUAGCCACUUGUUUUGAUUCAUGCAAACCAGCAGAAAUAUUUUGCAUUGUGUUUCUGGGAAAAGGGACUGGGAGGUAGCUAACACUUAAUCACCUUCUAUUUACACAGCAUUGUGCUUCCAGUAUUAGGACUAACCUUGAGAUAUGGGUAUCAUUAUACCCACUUUAGUAACAAAGACAUUGAGAUUCAGAGAGAUUGUGACAUACCUAAGGUAGCAAAACUAGUAGCUGGAAGAGCCAAAAUUUGAACUCAGAUCUCUCUGGCCCUACUAAAUGCAUCACCAUAAAUUAUUUCAUGGGCAAUCUUUCCCUGCACCUUAAUUGAUUUAUUUCUGCCAAAUGUAUGUGUUCCUAGAUCUUUAUGGAAUAUUCUGACAUGGGAAUGCCCCCAGGUCUGUGAGGACUGGCUUCUCUGGGGUUGUAUCAAUAGAUGAAGGAAAAUUUUGCAGUUGUUUAUACAGUUUGGGGGGUUGAGGUGGUACAAUUUGUACAUUUUUGUUCCUUUCAUAGCAAAUUCUUCAGUUUUCUUUGAUGAGGCCAAGCAAUAAAUUUUUUCCUUUCUUAAGAGCAAAUACUUAUUUUUGUGGUUUUCACAAAAGUUGUCUUUCACAAACACGGUAAUACUGUGUUUCACACUGCACAUCUCUAAGAUGUGAAAGAUCAUUAGUUCAAACAUUAAAAGUAGGAUACCACUUUUGAAAGCCUAAUAUUUGUAUUGGUAAAGUGUGUCUGGUCCAGGCACAAUGGCUCACACCUGUAAUCCCACUACUUUGGGAUGCCAAGACAGGUGAAUUGCAUAAGCUUAGGAGUUCAUGACCAGCCUGGGGAACAUGGUGAAACCUUGUCUCUACAGAAAAUUAGCUGGGCAUGGUGGCAUGUGCCUGUUAGUCUCAGCUACUUGGGAGACCCAGGUGGGAGGAUUGCUUGGGCCCAGGAGGUCAAGGCUGCAGUAAGAUGUGAUCGUACCACUGUCCUCCAGCCUGCAUGACAGAGCAGGACCCUGUCUCCAAAAAAAAAAGUGUGUCUGUGUGUGUGUUAGAAACAUUUUUCUAAUUUUAUUUAACUCCUUACAAGCCUAUGGAAACCUGGCAAUGUAAUUGUCUUUUACUGUGUAUAUUUGUUUUAAGUUCUCCUUCUAAGAAUUCCUAUCUAGAUUUAUUUUUUCAUGUUGUUAUUUUUUUCUUUUUUACUUUUUAUUUGGAUAUAAUUAUUAAAAAGUUGCAAAAAUAGUAUAGCGGGCAUGUGUAGUAUUUGCCCAGUUUACCCUAUUGAUAUCUUACAUAUCUAUAAUACCUUAUUAAAACCAGGAAAUUGACAUACUACAGUCUUUAGGUUUUUAAUUUAUUUUUAUGUUUCAUAUCAAAAAGUUUCCAUUUUGCAGUAAUUCAUUUUUAUUAUAUUUGACUUGGCCCUUCCUCUCCUAAAUUAGCAAAUGUUAAUAAGCUUGUCCUAGUGCUCAUCUUGAAUUACAAGUUUAUUUUUAAAAUUAUCUGGGUCAACACAAUUGAAAGUGAUUUAUUUGUAAGGUGGUUGCUUUCUCUGGUCAUACUGUUCCAUGUCAUCCUGCCCUAAUAAACCUGCAACAUUAUACAACUUGUGUGUGUAUAUUUUAACACAUCUUCUGACCACUGCAGUUUUUUCACAGAUUGUUAUCAAAGGAAAACAGAGGAAUACAAGACUCGUCAUUUGACUGGAUUUUUUAAAAAAGUUUCUAAACAUCUAACUGUCAAAACAAGAAUACUGGGUGGGCAUGGUGGCUAACGCCUUGUAAUCCAGCACUUUGAGGGGCCAAGGUGGGCAGAUACCUUGAGCAAGAGUUCUAGACCAACCUGGGCAACAUGGUGAAAUCCUGUCUCUACAAAAAAAAAAAAAUAUAGCUGGUUGUGGUGGUCCACACCUGUAGUCCCAGCUACUCCAGAGGCUGAGGUGGGUGGAGCACUUGAGUCCUGGAGGUCAAAGCUGCAGUGAGCCAUGACUACACCACUGCAAGCCAGCCUGGGUGACAGAGCAAGAUCCUACCUCAAAAAAAAAAAAAAAAAAAAAAAAAAAGAAUGCUGUGGUUUGUUGGUUAGUGUGCAAAAUCUCACUUAUGGCUAAUUCUGGUUCUACAUGGAUUCUCCUACCCAGGGCACUCACCCUUUACUCCACCAGAGAAUAAACAGGGAAAAAAUGAAGGCUAAAUUACUUUGUUCAAUCUUAGUCUUGAGGAAAGGUUGAUGAAAGGGGAAAAUUUGGGACUUUGUGUAGGUAUCAAUUAUGUUAUGAGCACCUAAUCACUGAUUAUCAAGUGACGGUUUUUCUGCAUUAUGUACUUACUAUAAAUGAGUAAAAAACAUCCUUCAUAUUAUAGCUUAUUUAACAAACUAUUAUUUAUCUGCUGUGUAUCAGCAGAUAAAUCAAGCACCCAAUUAGGUACUUGACACAGGGACAAAACAAUCUCUGCUCUUAAGGAGCUAGAAUUCCAGAGUUUCUGUUGAUAUAUAUUUUUUUAAUGUUAAGCUCUCACUAUGUGCUAGAUAAUUUGCAAAUGCUAGACAUCCGACGGGAAGCAAAAACAAAAAUGUUUCUUUUUCUUAUGAAACUGGUAAGUUAGACAAUCUCACAAAAGUACCUUUAAAAUCUAACAGGUAUUACAAAGGGUAGGUAUGUGCUGCCAUGAGGGCAUAAAAGCAUUGGGACUUGACCUAACCUGAGGUAUCAGAAAUGCCUUCUCCUGGGAAUAGAUGUUUCAAGCCGAGAUUUAAAAGUGCCUCAGAGUAUAAACUACAUGCAGAGGUGGGGGAAAGCAAGAAAGCACAAAUAGACCUCAUGAUAGAAGCAACAGAGUCCCAGGGACUGAAAUGAGAGAAUGUGAGAUGAGUCUGGAGAGUUAAGGGUCCACCAUUCAGGGUCUUAGAGGCUGUGGUAAAGAUUCUAAUCUUUGUUCCGAAAUCUGCAAACCAAUCGAGUUUUUAGUGAGAGCAACAUGAUCAGAUUUGUAUUUUCAAAAGACCACUCUGACUUCAAUGUUAAGAAUUCAUUCAUGCAUAGUGUCAUGCACCUGUGGUCCCAGCUACUCGGGAGGCUGAGGCACAAGAAUCGCUUGAACCGGGGAGGCGUAGGCUGCAGUGAGUCGAGAUCAUGGCACUGCACUCCAGCCUGGGCCACAGAGUAAGACUUUGCUUCAAAAAAGAAAAAUUUUUUAAAAAGAAUUCAUUUUUGGCCAGGUGUGGUAGCUCACAACUGUAAGCCCAGCACUUUGGGAGGCCAAGGUGAGAGGAUUGCUUGCGCCCAGGAGUUUGAGACCAGCCUAAGCAAUAUAGUGGGACCCCAUCUCUACAAAAUAUAAAAAAAUGAAAACAUUAGCCAAGUGUGGUGGUGCGCACCUGUAGUCUCAGCUACUCAUUCUUUAAAUAAAUGCAUCCUGAAGGCCUGCUAUAGACCAAAUCCUACUCUGCACACAGAGCACACGGCAGUGGACAACAGACAAAUUCCCUAUCUGUGAGGAUCUUACAUACAAUAUACAAAUCAUAAAUAAGAUAAUAGUGCUGUAAGAAUAUUGGAACAGGGUGAGAAUGAAAGGGUAGGGUGGAGUUGCUAUUUUAUAAGCUUGAAUCCUAUGAAAUUACUGAUUUUUAAAAAUAAUUUUUGACCUGAGAAUGACAUUACACCUUAGGUUUGAAUGGUUCAAUCCAGUUGUGUGACAUUAGGGUCAUAUGGUUCAACUUAAUACUUGGAAGAGUCAGAACUAAUGAGGUGAUCGAAAGAAAGAGAAGCAAGCCAUGUAAAUACCUGGGAGAAGAGCAUUUGAAGCAAAGGAACAGCAAGUGCAAAGGCCCUAAAACAAAAAUGUGCCUGCCAUGUUUAAGGAGCAGUAACAAGGCUGAAGAGUAAAGGACAAGUGGGAAGAAUGGUAACAGAGGCCAGAUCAUACUGGUGACCAUGGUAACAAAUUGGCUUUUCUCCUUUUUUUUUUCCCCCUUAAGACAGGGUCUCACUUUGUCACUCAGGCUGGAGUGCAAUGGCGUGCUCAUAGCUCACUGCAGUCCUGAACUUCUGGGCUCAAGUGAUCUUCCUGCCUUAGCUUCCUUAGUAACUGGGACUACAGGCAUCCAGCACCACGCCCAGCUAAGUUUUUUUUUUUAAGAGAUGGUAUUUCAUUAUGUUGCCCAGGCUGGUCUUAAACUCCCGCCCGCAAGUGAUCCUCCCACCUCAGCCUCCUAAAGUCUUCCAAAAUGCUGGGAUUACAGACGUGAGCUAUCACGCCCAGCCUGGUUUUUCCUCUUUGAGUAAGCUAAGCCGUGGGAGGGUUUUGAGCAGAGGAACUACACAUCUGCCAUUAUUUAAAGGAGUAUUCUGUUAAUGGUAGAAUAUAAGUGGUGGAUGCAGAAGUGAUUGCUGUAAAAUUCUUUCAACUUUGCUGUGUGUUUGAAAUUUUUCCUAAUAAAAUAAUAGUUUAAACUGGUUAUUGUGAAUAGACUUUAGGGGAGCAAAGGUGAGAGCAGGAAGACCAGUUAGGCUAUAACAAUAAUUCAGGUAGCAGUGGAAGUGGUAGGAAGUGGUUGGGAGCAGAUGUGGUGUUUGAAUUACAAGUCAGUAAUUCAGAGGAAAUACCAGGUAGGAAAUACAAAUGUAUGAAUCCACCUAAAGAUUAGGAAAACAAGGACAAAUGUCUUGAGAAUUAAAAGAAAAUGCUCAGAAGUGUACCCUAAAGCCUCUUACUCAUGCUUUUGUUCUAGGCUGGUUUUGGUUGUAGAUAGUUAUCAGUUAUUAUAUACUGCCAUUCAGAUUAUUUAUAUGUAUUACUGUCCACAACUCACUUGUGUUCUAAAGGGUUUUUUUUAAUAAUGUUCUUGUCUUCCCAAGCAGAUUACAUGCUUUUUGAGAAAAGAUCUAUUUUUUUGUAUACACCCCGCAAUGCCAUAUUCCUAGAAGGCAUUUUCAAUGUUCACAGAAUAAAAAUAUUUGAAUACAGAGCUUUUCAUGUCUUUUGUUUUUAUAAAACAUCAAUUUUCUUAUAAAUGUUUAAUUUAGACACUUCUGAAAAUGAAGGUAGAGUUAGAAUUUUCAAUCUGUUGCAACUUAUGCCCAUUUCAGGUCAGACAAAUAAAGAGAGAGCCUUCUGGGGGGUAAAAAAAAAAAAAAAAAAAGGCCCAGGUUUGUGCCUGUAGUAGUAAUGUCAGCUACCUCAGGAAGCUUGAGCCCAGGAGUCCAAGGCUUAUAUGGCACCACAAUUGUGCCUGUGAAUAGCCACUGCACUCCAGCCUGGGCAACACAGCAAGAUCCUGUUUCUUUUAAAAACAAAACAAAACAAAAAAAACCCCAAUCAGCUUUUCUCCAUAUUGGCUUAUACUCAGACUUCAUCAUGUGGCAACAAGACAGUUCUCAAAAACUUUAGUUCUAUAUUCACUCCAGUCCAAGUCCAGCAAGAGAUCCCUUCCAGUAGCUCCUAGAUUCACUGAACCAAUUACCUUGCUACAGUAAUUUGUUAAAGGAUAGAGAGUUACCUUCCCAUCCUUUAACAAAUUACUGUAGCAAGGAAAACUCUUGUGCUAUGAUUAGCCAAAUUUGAGUCAUAUGCUUUACCUCUGGUCCACCCAAAGAUCAUGGACUAUAGGAGAGGAGUGGUUCCCGGAAGAACAAAAUGGAGUACUGUCACCAAAAUAUAGAAAUGGAUACUGAUGGUGAAAACACAAUGCUUACUACACCAACUAACUCAAAGGCCUAUGCAUUGUUUCUUCCUUAAGCUUUUGAAAGAAGUUAGUCACUGCCAUGGCACUCACUUUGAAUCUCUUCCAAUUCCACACACAAUACUGCAUUUUUUCCCCUGAAUCAUCAGGCAGUCAUAUAUUCAGUUGCCAUUGAAAAGUAAAUGCAUGAUUAUGAAAGUUAACCAGCUGGAAGGGUCAGUAUUUCAGUACAUCACUUUUCAGGACACUCCCAACUGGUAUUGCAGGUAGUUUCUUGUCCUUAAAAUUCUUUCCUGUUGUCAAGCUACCUGAAACGUAUUUGUCCUCGAUACCCUAGGGGCAGGGUGGCUGAUAACUAAGGUGCCUGGGAAACACUUCAGAAGCAAGUGACAAUGAAUUGGCUUAAGAAGCCAAUUCAUCUUUUAGAUGGAUAUUUAUACUGUAGAAUCUUGAAAGGAAAAUUUAUCUACAGAUAUGUCUGUUUUCAGUUUCUUUUCCUUUUUGCACUAACAAGUUAUUUUCCCCACAUGACGUUUAAUCUACCUUACAAAACAUUUUUAACAUUUUAGUUCAAAAUUUGCUUCAGAAAAUGGAUGACUUUGGUGUGAAACGAUUGUUGACUCUAUUAUUCUAGAAUUUGGGAUGGCGCCUCUAGUUUGCUGCUUCCUUGGACACCAAACAUAACAUUCUCUGUUCUAGGACGUGCUUCAAGUCGGUCAUGAGACUGGCAGAAAAUCAAACCAAACUAAAUGAAUGGUUGUUGAAGUUAAUCUCCCAUCCUGGAGCUGUGCAUGCCAUGGAGUAGCCAGCUUUUAACAGGCACAAUCCUGAUCAAAAUCACUGCUCUGUGGUCCUGCUCAUCAGAAUAUUAUGGAAACUAGAUUUAGGCCUGGUUUCCUUAAAAAUAGAUGUGAUAAUGAAAUAAUCAUGUAUUAUAGCCAUUACAAUUUCUAUUGUAGGAGAAAGUGGAUAAUGUUUUAACGUAAAACAGUAGGUUACUAAACAAUAUGUUCUAGAUGAACAUUUAACAUUUUUGUUUUAAUUAGCCAGGCAUGUGUGAUGACCUACGCCUGUAGUCCUAGCUACUCAGGAGGCUGAGACGGCAGGAUUUGCUUGAGCCCAGGAUUUCAAGGUUACAGUGAGCUUUGAUCACAUCACUGCACUCCAGCCUGGGUGACAGAGCAAGACCCCGUCUCACAAAUAAUAAUACAAAUACAGAAAAAAUACUAGAAAACACACCCAAAUGUUAAGUUUAAGGAAUGGAACUAUCAGUUAUUUUAUUUUAUUUUUAUUUUCAAAAAUACUCAAACGUGAAAUAUACCACAUCUGCGGCCGGGCACGGUGGCUCACGCCUGUAAUCCCAGCACUUUCGGAGACUGAGCCGGGCAGAUCACCCAAGUUAAGGAGUUUGAGACUAGCCUGGCCAACAUGGUGAAACGCCGUUUCUACUAAAAAUACAAAAUUAGCCAGGCGUAGUGGUGCACGCCGGUAAUCCCAGCUACUUGGGAGGCUGAGACAGGAGAAUCAUUUGAACCAAGGAGGCAGAGGUUGCAGUGAGCCGAGAUCGAGCCAUUGUACUCCAGCCUGGGCGACAAGAACGAAAGUCUGUCUCCAAAAAAAAAAAAAAUUGUCUGUUACUGCUAUGGUCUGAAUGUUGUGUCCUGCCAAAACUCAUAUGUUGAACUCCUAACCCCCAAGGUGAUGGUAUUAGAAGGUGGGGCCUUCCUGAGGUGAUUAGGCCAUGACAGCAGAGCACUCAUGAACAGGAUUAGUGCCCUUAUAAAACAGGCCUAAGAGACACCCCUCCCUGGUCCAUAAUGUGAUAGUAGAAUGAGAAAACAGCUGUCUAUGAGGAAGCAGAUCCUCACCAGACACUGAAUCUGCUGGCACCUUGAUCUUGGCCUUCUCAGCCUUCAGAAUUUUGAGAAAUAAAUUUCAGUUGUUUAUAAGCCACAAAAGCUAUAUUUUGUUAUAGCAGUCCAAAUGGACUAAGACAAAUACCAAUAUGACAGAAUCAAAAUAAAAAACUAAAAAUUAAAUCUAGGCUGGGCUGUAAUCCUGUAAUUCCAAUGAUUUGGGAGGCCAAAGUGGGAGGAUCACUUGAACCCAGGAAUUUGAGAUCAGCCUGGGCAACAUAAGGAGACCUCGUUUUUACAAAAAAAUGUUUAAAAAUUAUGCGCGUAUGGUGGCACGUGCCUGUAGUUCUAGCUACCUGGGAGGCUGAGGCAGGAGGAUCACUAGAGCUAAGGAAUUUGAGAUUACAGUAAGCUAUGAUCGUGUCACUCCAGCCUGAGUGACUAAGCAAGACCCUGUCUCAAAAAAAAAAGUCUAAUUAUGCUUCUUACUGCUCAAAACCAUGGUAGAUUUCUCUCUUGUCUUGCAUACAUUUUAUUUUAUUUUAUUUUAUUUUUUUUGAGACGGAGUCGCUCUGU
rnacentral:lncRNA from 1 species